rnacentral:rRNA from 1 species
UACGGGGGGAGCAAGCGUUGUUCGGAUUUACUGGGCGUAAAGAGCUCGUAGGCGGUUUGUCACGUCGGAUGUGAAAACCCGGGGCUUAACCCCGGGCCUGCAUUCGAUACGGGCUGACUAGAGUUCGGCAGGGGAGACUGGAAUUCCUGGUGUAGCGGUGAAAUGACGCAGAUAUCAGGAGGAACACCGGUGGCGAAGGCGGGUCUCUGGGCCGAUACUGACGCUGAGGAGCGAAAGCGUGGGGGAGCGAACAGG